rnacentral:rRNA from 1 species
GCAGUCGAACGCUGAAGCCGACAGCUUGCUGUUGGUGGAUGAGUGGCGAACGGGUGAGUAACACGUGAGUAACCUGCCCCUGAUUUCGGGAUAAGCCUGGGAAACUGGGUCUAAUACCGGAUACGACCAACCCUCGCAUGAGGGUUGGUGGAAAGUUUUUCGAUCGGGGAUGGGCUCGCGGCCUAUCAGCUUGUUGGUGGGGUAAUGGCCUACCAAGGCGACGACGGGUAGCCGGCCUGAGAGGGCGACCGGCCACACUGGGACUGAGACACGGCCCAGACUCCUACGGGAGGCAGCAGUGGGGAAUAUUGCACAAUGGGGGAAACCCUGAUGCAGCGACGCAGCGUGCGGGAUGACGGCCUUCGGGUUGUAAACCGCUUUCAGCAGGGAAGAAGCGAAAGUGACGGUACCUGCAGAAGAAGUACCGGCUAACUACGUGCCAGCAGCCGCGGUAAUACGUAGGGUACGAGCGUUGUCCGGAAUUAUUGGGCGUAAAGAGCUCGUAGGUGGUUGGUCACGUCUGCUGUGGAAACGCAACGCUUAACGUUGCGCGUGCAGUGGGUACGGGCUGACUAGAGUGCAGUAGGGGAGUCUGGAAUUCCUGGUGUAGCGGUGAAAUGCGCAGAUAUCAGGAGGAACACCGGUGGCGAAGGCGGGACUCUGGGCUGUAACUGACACUGAGGAGCGAAAGCAUGGGGAGCGAACAGGAUUAGAUACCCUGGUAGUCCAUGCCGUAAACGUUGGGCACUAGGUGUGGGGGGACAUUCCACGUUCUCCGCGCCGGAGCUAACGCAUUAAGUGCCCCGCCUGGGGAGUACGGUCGCAAGGCUAAAACUCAAAUGAAUUGACGGGGGCCCGCACAAGCGGCGGAGCA